rnacentral:SRP_RNA from 1 species
GCUGGGCGUAGUGGCGGGCGCCUGUAAUCCCAGCUACUUGGGAGGCUGAGGCAGGAGAAUCACUUGAACCUGGGAGGUGGAGGUUGCAGUAAGCCCAGAUUGAGCCACUGCACUUCAGCCUGGGUGACAGAGCGAGACUCUGCCUCAA